GUGACAAGUCUGUAAACGUUUACUGGAAAUUUGACAUAAAUGUCAAAGUGAUUAAUUUUAAAUUAAAAUUAAAAACAUUAAUUAUAAAAAAUAUUUGUUGAUCAAAGCUGUGGUUUAUAUUUUUACCUUAAAUAUUGGGAUAAACCGUAAUCGUACCCCCUCCUAACUGCCAAAGUGUCAUGGCCGCCGUCGGGACCUAUUGUGCUGACAUUUACAAUGUUUACAUAUAGAAAAGUUUGUUUUUUUCUGCUUAUAAUGCCGUUUUCUAAAGAUAUUAGUGAACAAAAUCGAUUUGCUAACACUAUUUAAUAUAUUUUAAAUGUGCUAAAAUUGGAUUCAACAGCAAAAGUCGCAUAAAUAACAUAUAAAUAACGAAUUUGUUCACCUAUUACAAAUGGGGUUAUGUGGUUGUAACUGUUUAUUUUGGGUAUAAAAUGAAAAUAAUCAAUUAAACGACUGGAAAACUAUAGUGAAGUGAAGAACAUCUUGAAGUUCCAAUGAUGUUUCAAGAUGAGGUAAAUCGAAAUAAUUGUAUGUUAGAAGGACAGAGAAUAUGAAGAAAUGUUAUUGCUGCAUAUUUAGUGUAGUGAAAUACAAACUUCAAACAUUAUAAUAUAUUUUUUGAUUUCAAACAUUUCAUGUGAUUAUGAAAGAACAUCUUUCUUUUUAAAACAAUGAAGAAGUGAAGAACAUAAUAAAGUUCCAACGAAAAUGAUUCCAGAUGAGGAAAAUCGAAAUAAUGGUUGUAUGUUACAUGUAUAGAGAAUACGAAGAAAUGUUAUUGCUGCAAACUUAGUGUAGUGAAUUAAAAACUUAUUGUCAAAUACAAAUCAAUUUAUUUCAUACUUUUAUAAUAUAUAGUGAUAUAAUUUUAUAUGUGUUCAAAUAAAAAUAUUAAUAAAUAAAAUACAAUAAACACAAA
rnacentral:lncRNA from 1 species